rnacentral:rRNA from 1 species
UACGUAGGGUGCGAGCGUUGUCCGGAAUUACUGGGCGUAAAGAGCUCGUAGGUGGUUUGUCGCGUUGUUCGUGAAAACCUGAGGCUUAACCUUGGGCGUGCGGGCGAUACGGGCAGACUGGAGUACUGCAGGGGGAGACUGGAAUUCCUGGUGGUAGCGGUGGAAUGCGCAGAUAUCAGGAGGAACACCGGUGGCGAAGGCGGGUCUCUGGGCAGUGAACUGACGCUGAGGUGCGAAAGCGUGGGGAGCAAACAGG